CGGAUGUUAGCGGCGGACGGGUGAGUAACACGUGGGUAACCUGCCUGUAAGACUGGGAUAACUCCGGGAAACCGGAGCUAAUACCGGAUAGUUCCUUGAACCGCAUGGUUCAAGGAUGAAAGACGGUUUCGGCUGUCACUUACAGAUGGACCCGCGGCGCAUUAGCUAGUUGGUGGGGUAAUGGCUCACCAAGGCGACGAUGCGUAGCCGACCUGAGAGGGUGAUCGGCCACACUGGGACUGAGACACGGCCCAGACUCCUACGGGAGGCAGCAGUAGGGAAUCUUCCGCAAUGGACGAAAGUCUGACGGAGCAACGCCGCGUGAGUGAUGAAGGUUUUCGGAUCGUAAAGCUCUGUUGUUAGGGAAGAACAAGUGCGAGAGUAACUGCUCGCACCUUGACGGUACCUAACCAGAAAGCCACGGCUAACUACGUGCCAGCAGCCGCGGUAAUACGUAGGUGGCAAGCGUUGUCCGGAAUUAUUGGGCGUAAAGGGCUCGCAGGCGGUUUCUUAAGUCUGAUGUGAAAGCCCCCGGCUCAACCGGGGAGGGUCAUUGGAAACUGGGAAACUUGAGUGCAGAAGAGGAGAGUGGAAUUCCACGUGUAGCGGUGAAAUGCGUAGAGAUGUGGAGGAACACCAGUGGCGAAGGCGACUCUCUGGUCUGUAACUGACGCUGAGGAGCGAAAGCGUGGGGAGCGAACAGGAUUAGAUACCCUGGUAGUCCACGCCGUAAACGAUGAGUGCUAAGUGUUAGGGGGUUUCCGCCCCUUAGUGCUGCAGCUAACGCAUUAAGCACUCCGCCUGGGGAGUACGGUCGCAAGACUGAAACUCAAAGGAAUUGACGGGGGCCCGCACAAGCGGUGGAGCAUGUGGUUUAAUUCGAAGCAACGCGAAGAACCUUACCAGGUCUUGACAUCCUCUGACAACCCUAGAGAUAGGGCUUUCCCUUCGGGGACAGAGUGACAGGUGGUGCAUGGUUGUCGUCAGCUCGUGUCGUGAGAUGUUGGGUUAAGUCCCGCAACGAGCGCAACCCUUGAUCUUAGUUGCCAGCAUUCAGUUGGGCACUCUAAGGUGACUGCCGGUGACAAACCGGAGGAAGGUGGGGAUGACGUCAAAUCAUCAUGCCCCUUAUGACCUGGGCUACACACGUGCUACAAUGGACAGAACAAAGGGCUGCAAGACCGCAAGGUUUAGCCAAUCCCAUAAAUCUGUUCUCAGUUCGGAUCGCAGUCUGCAACUCGACUGCGUGAAGCUGGAAUCGCUAGUAAUCGCG
rnacentral:rRNA from 1 species